UCUGUCUCAAAAAAAAAAGACUGACUGCCACGUAAGUGCUCAAUAACUAUUACCUGCCUAUAAUAGCAGAAAUACAAAUAAUAAUAAAAAAAAUACUUUAUAUAGAUAAUGUAUGUAUGCAAUAUAUGUAUGUUAACUCAUUGAAUUCUCACCACCACGCUAUGAGUUAAGUAUACUCACUUUACAGACGAGAAACUUGAAGAACAAAGAAGUUUAGUAAUUUGCCCAAGAUCACACAGUAGCUGGCAUUUGAACUGGGCAUGACACCAGAGCUGGCACUCCUAAUUACCAUGGAGGUACAUAAACUUCACUGUGCAUAGCAACCUUUAAAGGUAGACAUUUCCAUUUUCUGUAUGAGGAACCUGAGGUUCAAAGAAGGGAAGUAAUUUGCUCAAGAACCUACACAACUAACAGGUGCUAGUGUGUCUGGAAUUGGUUGGUGGGUUCUUGGUCUCACUGACUUCAAGAAUGAAGCCGCGGACCCUCGCGGUGAGUGUUACAGUUAUUAAAGGCGGCAUGUCUGGAGUUUGUUCCUUUUGAUGUUCGGAUGUGUUCCGAGUUUCUUCCUUCUGGUGGGUUCGUGGUCUCGCUGGCUCAGGAGUGAAGCUGCAGACCUUCGCGGUGAGUGUUACAGCUCAUAAAGGCACUGUGGACCCAGAGUGAGCAGCAGCAAGAUUUAUUGCAAAGAGAGAAAGAACUAAGCUGCCACAGUGUGGAAAGGGACCUGAGUGGCUUGCCGCUGCUGGCUUGGACAGCCUGCUUUUAUUCUCUUAUCUGGCCCCACCCACAUCCUGCUGAUUGGUAGAGCCGAGUGGUCUGUUUUGACAGGGCACUGAUUGGUGCGUUUACAAUCCCUGAGCUAGACACAAAGGUUCUCCACGUCCCCACCAGAUUAGCUAGAUACAGAGUGUGGAACACAAAGGUUCUCCAAGUCCCCACCAGAGUAGCUAGAUACAGAGUGUCAAUUGGUGCAUUCACAAACCCUGAGGUAAACACAGGGUGCUGAUUGGUGUGUUUACAAACCUUGAGCUAGAUACAGAGUGCAGAUUGGUGUAUUUACAAUCCCUGAGCUAGACAUAAAGGUUCUCCACGUCCCCACCAGACUCAGGAGCCCAGCUGGCUUCCCCCAGUGGAUCCCGCACCCUGGCUGCAGGUGGAGCUGCCUGCCUGUCCCACGCCGUGUGCCC
rnacentral:lncRNA from 1 species